rnacentral:rRNA from 1 species
GAUGAACGCUGGCGGCGUGCUUAACACAUGCAAGUCGAACGGAAAGGCUCCUGCUUGCAGGGGUACUCGAGUGGCGAACGGGUGAGUAACACGUGGGUGAUCUGCCCUGCACUUCGGGAUAAGCCUGGGAAACUGGGUCUAAUACCGGAUAGGACGAUGGUUUGGAUGCCAUUGUGGAAAGUUUUUCGGUGUGGGAUGAGCUCGCGGCCUAUCAGCUUGUUGGUGGGGUAAUGGCCUACCAAGGCGUCGACGGGUAGCCGGCCUGAGAGGGUGUACGGCCACAUUGGGGCUGAGAUACGGCCCAGCCUCCUACGGGAGGCAGCAGUGGGGAAUAUUGCACAAUGGGCGCAAGCCUGAUGCAGCGACGCCGCGUGGGGGAUGACGGCCUUCGGGUUGUAAACUCCUUUCGCUAGGGACGAAGCGCAAGUGACGGUACCUGGAGAAGAAGCACCGGCUAACUACGUG